rnacentral:tRNA from 1 species
GGUGGGGUGGCAGAGCGGCCAUGCGUUCGCCUGCAGAACUGCACAAGUGCAGCCAGCGAAUUUAUAGGGGUUCGAAUCCCCUCCCCACCU